ACUCCUGACGGGAGGCGAGCAGUGGGGAAUAUUGGACAAUGGGGGAACCCUGAUCCAGCCAUGCCGCGUGUGUGAAGAAGGCCUUAUGGUUGUUAAAGCACUUUAAGCGAGGAGGAGGCUACUGAGACUAAUACUCUUUGGAUAGUGGACGUUACUCGCAGAAUUAAGCACCGGCUAACUCUGUGCCAGCAGCCGCGGUAAAUACAGAGGGUGCGAGCGUUUAAUCGGAUUUACUGGGGCGUAAAGCGUGCGUAGGCGGCCAUUUAAGUC
rnacentral:rRNA from 1 species